GCAUGGUGGAGUGUGGAGGAUGAAACCAGCUCUAAAGAAGUAUGCCUGUGAACUCACACUGGACCCAAACACAGCCAAUGGAGACCUCUAUCUGUCUAAGGACAACAGAGAGGUGGGGCUGGUUGAAGAGGACCAAGAAGUGGAGAUUCCUGAUCACCCAGAGAGAUUUGUCUCCCAGCCCCAGGUGUUGUGUAGAGAGGGUCUGACUGGCCGCUGUUACUGGGAGGUAGAGUGGGAUGGACAUGUUUCUAUAGGAGUGACAUACAGAGGAAUCACAAGGAGAGGAGGAAAUUAUGACAGCAUGCUUGGAGGGAACAACAGGUCCUGGAGUCUUUCUUGUCGUCAGGUGUAUCGUCCUAAUGAUCAUUAUGAUAGUGAUAAUGAUGAAUAUUAUUCUGAUUAUGAUGAUGAUGAUGAUGAUGAUGAUGAGGAGGAGGGAUGUUAUUACACUGCCCGGUACAACUGUGUAGAUAGACUAAUGCUUUUCCCCCCCGAUGAUUCUGCCAGAGUGGGAGUUUAUCUGGACCGGCCUGCUGGUACUCUGUCCUUCUACAGUGUGUCCACAGUUGUAGGACAGACAGACACACUGAGACGCAUCCACACCUUCCAGUCCACAUUCACCCAGGAGGACCUGGGUUUGGGAUAGGGGAUGAUGAUUAUGAGGAUAGGGGUUGUUCAGUGUCUCUGUGUAAGUUAUAGUCUCUCACUCUCUCUCUUCGAGUCUGAUGACAAACAUAUAUACACGGCCACAUAUAUUAACACACACACACACACACACACGCAUAUAUUAACACAAACACGCAUAUAUCAACCCACACACGUGCACAUAUAUUUACCCAGAAGUGCUCACACACACACAUAUUUAAAGACACACACACAAGCAUAUAUAAACACACACGCAGUCACGCAGGCACACACAAACACACAAGCAUAUAUAAACGCUGAAAUAUACACACAGACACACGCAUGCAAAUGCGCGCAUAUAAACACAUCCAUAGAUAAACGUACCCGCGCACACGUGCACACACCGCACAUGCAUUAUCAGACAUACACGCACGCACAAAAACACGCAUAUAUGAACACACACACAUUUGAUCUUGAUAAUAAAACCAUGAAAGGAAGAGACUUUUAAGAUAUUCCAUAAGGUUAACUAAGAAGGUUUUACAGACUAUAUUUCUAAUGUCAAAUGUAUUUUAAAUAAUGAUUGACGGCUAAUCUAUGCAUGUUUAUGCUACUCGAUUUUGAGAGAGGUUAAUACUGCAGGGAUCUGAAAGCAGUUUAUAUUUUGAUAAGCCUAACCUGGAACCUGAUUUAAUAUUAUAUUCAUAAUGCAAACGGUCUGAGAAAAGCCAUUGAUCAUGUUGUGACAACUUUAAACUGAGUAUUGAUUCCUUGUGUUCUGUUGGGAACAACACAGCAGCAGAACAUGUUCAGUUAUAAAAGAUGUGUGCACACCUGUUUAUGAAUAGUGAAAUGAAAUGUCUGCUGCUUCUAUUGUUUGAGUGCUUGUGUUUAUUGUAUACAUGUAAGGGACUGUUCUUCUAUUGUACUGGUUAAUAAAGCAUAAUGGUGAUAAACAA